rnacentral:tRNA from 1 species
GCUCCCGUAGCUCAAAUGGAUAGAGCUGCCGUUUCCUAAAUGGCUGAUCCCGGUUCAAUUCCGGGCGGGAGCACCA